GACACUGCUGUGCUACAGUGACUCCAACCCCAUCAGUAAUUACUCCUGGUACAGAAAGACAGGAAGUGAUGUCUUACUGUUAGGAAAUGGCACCAAUUUAACUAUAGCUACAGGAACAAGUGGACUUUUCUACUGUGUGGUGCAGAAUCCAUUUGGAUCAUCUAACUCAUCAGAAUGGUCAUUUACUUCAGGGAAACCAGCUGGGACAUAUGCAGCUUCUGGAGUCACUGUGGGUUUGUUUCUGACUCUCACUGCUGUCUGUCUAUGGAUGAGGAGGGGAUCUGCAGCUGUCAGCAGAAGGAGUGAGGAGACCAGCACAAAUCAUGACUCUGCUCCUGUAUAUGAUAAUAUCUCAGCCCUGGCUAAGACCUGUGACUCCACAGUAUCUUCAGAUGAUCAGGAUGAAGUUCACUACUCCAGUGUUCAUUUCACACACUCCCACACACAGGAAGUGCUCUACUCCACUGUUCAACUGCCAAAGGCUCUUAUUCAAGGAGAGGAAGUAGAGUACGCCACAGUGAACAUCACCAAAACAAAAGUCUCCCCACAGUAGGCUAUGCAAAUGGCAUAGUUCAUUAUGUCUGUAUCACUGUUACACAUGGAGUGUAAGUUAUUUCUGAAGCAAAUAAUAUAAUAAAGUCAACUGAAUAAAUAAAUAUAAUUACAGCCCUUUUCCUAAGUUCU